AAAACUAAUGAAAUCAAAACCAAACAAACUUUGCUAAAACAAAACUAAAACCCAAACUGUAGCUAAACCGUUCACCGCGAGAAAUCAAAUUAGACACCGGUUAAUAUAAGUUCUAUCGCAUCAAUAAUUUCAUUAGUUACCUAGUAAUCUACAUGAUGGUAUAGUUUCUUAUUCUGCUACAGAACUUGAAAAACUUUCUUUUGUACAGAUCAUGUCUGUUUUGAUUUGUGAUUUCAGUUGAUGCCAUUACGUACAAGAAACAAGUCAAAGUCUAAGUAGACGACACCACCGAAAGACAAGCAUAUGGUAUUCUCAAGUAUUUUUACACAUUUGAUUUUGUUAUUUAUCUGCAGUUGAUGUUGCUUGUUAUGGGACUCACUGAUAGCCUAUCAAAGGCUUUGCAAAGAAAAUAUCAAGAUAUCUUAAAUGCUAUUUCAUUGGUGAAAACCACUAAAUGUCAUCGGAAUGCUUAAACUGAUUAAGUGUACAAUGCUUUAUGAUGUAAUGAACAAACAACUCUCUAUGAUAAAAGGCAAAACCAAAUAUCUUCAGUAAUUAAACUACUCACAUCAAUCAGAUCUCCAAAUUUACUAGUGAAUUUUGUUGCUAUGCGGCUCGAGAGUACUCCUAGUACUGUUGUUCCUGACAAACAUUACACCAAGCUUUAUUUCUUGUUCUAAAUUUUUUUGUACAAACAUUACUCAAUU
rnacentral:sRNA from 1 species